GUAAUCACACACGUGAGGUCUAGAGAGAUCGAGCAAUAUGAACGCUGAUCUUUUCCCUGUCAUAAAGAGAGAUUAUUUCUGAUAGACACUCGACUGAACAGGAAAAGCAGAACUUGCAGAAGUGGAUGGACCUUAUGUGAAACUUAGACUAAGUGGCAAAUUUUGGCAUACACGUUCUACUGUUGUAGCAAGACUUGGUAAUU
rnacentral:misc_RNA from 1 species